AGAGUUUGAUCCUGGCUCAGAUUGAACGCUGGCGGCAUGCUUUACACAUGCAAGUCGAACGGUAACAGGGGCUUCGGCCCGCUGACGAGUGGCGAACGGGUGAGUAAUGCAUCGGAAUGUGUCCUGUAGUGGGGGAUAACUCCGAGAAAUCGGAGCUAAUACCGCAUACGUACCGAGGUAGAAAGCAGGGGAUCGCAAGACCUUGCGCUAUAGGGGCAGCCGAUGCCGGAUUAGCUAGUUGGUGGGUAAAGGCCUACCAAGGCGACGAUCUGUAGCGGGUCUGAGAGGAUGAUCCGCCACACUGGGACUGAGACACGGCCCAGACUCCUACGGGAGGCAGCAGUGGGGAAUAUUGGACAAUGGGGGGAACCCUGAUCCAGCCAUGCCGCGUGUGUGAAGAAGGCCUUAUGGUUGUAAAGCACUUUAAGCGAGGAGGAGGCUACUGAGACUAAUACUCUUGGAUAGUGGACGUUACUCGCAGAAUAAGCACCGGCUAACUCUGUGCCAGCAGCCGCGGUAAUACAGAGGGUGCGAGCGUUAAUCGGAUUUACUGGGCGUAAAGCGUGCGUAGGCGGCUUUUUAAGUCGGAUGUGAAAUCCCCGAGCUUAACUUGGGAAUUGCAUUCGAUACUGGGAAGCUAGAGUAUGGGAGAGGAUGGUAGAAUUCCAGGUGUAGCGGUGAAAUGCGUAGAGAUCUGGAGGAAUACCGAUGGCGAAGGUAGCCAUCUGGCCUAAUACUGACGCUGAGGUACGAAAGCAUGGGGAGCAAACAGGAUUAGAUACCCUGGUAGUCCAUGCCGUAAACGGUGUCUACUAGCCGUUGGGGCCUUUGAGGCUUUAGUGGCGCAGCUAACGCGAUAAGUAGACCGCCUGGGGAGUACGGUCGCAAGACUAAAACUCAAAUGAAUUGACGGGGGCCCGCACAAGCGGUGGAGCAUGUGGUUUAAUUCGAUGCAACGCGAAGAACCUUACCUGGCCUUGACAUACUAGAAACUUUCCAGAGAUGGAUUGGUGCCUUCGGGAAUCUAGAUACAGGUGCUGCAUGGCUGUCGUCAGCUCGUGUCGUGAGAUCUGGGGUUAAGUCCCGCAACAAGGCAACCCUUUUCCUUACUUGCCAGCAUUUCGGAUGGGAACUUUAAGGAUACUGCCAGUGACAAACUGGAGGAAGGCGGGGACGACGUCAAGUCAUCAUGGCCCUUACGGCCAGGGCUACACACGUGCUACAAUGGUCGGUACAAAGGGUUGCUACACAGCGAUGUGAUGCUAAUCUCAAAAAGCCGAUCGUAGUCCGGAUUGGAGUCUGCAACUCGACUCCAUGAAGUCGGAAUCGCUAGUAAUCGCGGAUCAGAAUGCCGCGGUGAAUACGUUCCCGGGCCUUGUACACACCGCCCGUCACACCAUGGGAGUUUGUUGCACCAGAAGUAGGUAGUCUAACCGCAAGGAGGACGCUUACCACGGUGUGGCCGAUGACUGGGGUGAAGUCGUAACAAGGUAACCGU
rnacentral:rRNA from 1 species